rnacentral:rRNA from 1 species
UACGUAGGGGGCAAGCGUUGUCCGGAUUUAUUGGGCGUAAAGCGCGUGUAGGCGGUUCGGUAAGUCCGCUGUGAAAGUCGGGGGCUCAACCCUCGGAAGCCGGUGGAUACUGUCGGGCUAGAGUACGGAAGAGGCGAGUGGAAUUCCUGGUGUAGCGGUGAAAUGCGCAGAUAUCAGGAGGAACACCAAUUGCGAAGGCAGCUCGCUGGGACGUUACUGACGCUGAGACGCGAAAGCGUGGGGAGCAAACAGG